rnacentral:rRNA from 1 species
UACGUAGGGGGCUAGCGUUGCUCGGAAUCACUGGGCGUAAAGGGUGCGUAGGCGGGUCUUUAAGUCAGGGGUGAAAUCCUGGAGCUCAACUCCAGAACUGCCUUUGAUACUGAAGAUCUUGAGUUCGGGAGAGGUGAGUGGAACUGCGAGUGUAGAGGUGAAAUUCGUAGAUAUUCGCAAGAACACCAGUGGCGAAGGCGAGUCCCUGGACAAUUCCUGACGCUGAGGCACGAAAGCUAGGGGAGCAAACAGG